UGCCAGCAGCCGCGGUAAUACGGAGGGUGCAAGCGUUAAUCGGAAUUACUGGGCGUAAAGCGCGCGUAGGCGGCUCUUUAAGUCGGAUGUGAAAGCCCCGGGCUCAACCUGGGAACUGCAUCCGAUACUGGAGGGCUAGAGUGUAGGAGAGGGAGGUAGAAUUCCAUGUGUAGCAGUGAAAUGCGUAGAGAUUUGGAGGAAUACCAGUGGCGAAGGCGGCUCACUGACUCGAUACUGACGCUGAGGUACGAAAGUGUGGGGAGCAAACAGGAUUAGAUA
rnacentral:rRNA from 1 species